rnacentral:rRNA from 1 species
UACGUAGGGCGCAAGCGUUGUCCGGAAUUAUUGGGCGUAAAGAGCUCGUAGGCGGUUUGUCGCGUCUGUCGUGAAAGCUUGGGGCUUAACCCUAAGUCUGCGGUGGAUACGGGCAGACUAGAGGCAGGUAGGGGAGAACGGAAUUCCCGGUGUAGCGGUGAAAUGCGCAGAUAUCAGGAGGAACACCGGUGGCGAAGGCGGAUCUCUGGGCCGUAACUGACGCUGAGGAGCGAAAGCAUGGGGAGCGAACAGG